ensembl:lncRNA
UGGUAGAAGAGAGGUUUGAUACUGAUGGUGAGGUGAUUCCUUAUAUUUGUACAAAAACCUGUGAAGAGUUUAGGCAGGUUUCCUUCAGUGUGACUGAGGACAGGUUUUUGAACUUAGAUAAUGUUUCCACAUUGGAGAUGGUAAGAACUGCGCCAACAAGGGAACUUCUGGCGGCUGUCUGUCUGAGAUUCACUGAGGAUGUACUAGAUUAGAAGGUUCUGCAAAGAACAUGUGGUGUGAAAAACGUAGCAUUGAGUCAAGAUAAAAUCGAGAGGAAGAUUUUCAUACAAAUGUGGUCAAUAACUAACCAUAAAACUUUCGAGACAAUGCAUACAUGUCUCCACAUUAGAGGUGCCAUUUGCUUUUAACUCUGCAGCUGACAGACACAGUCCCUGCCAGGCUCAUCAAUUCAUCCGCUGUAAGGAAAGCAAAACACUCACACCUCAUGCCCUGAGCCUGAAAUUGUUGUUCUUAUAUUUGCCACACAUUUAUUGCUUCAUCUAGUGUCAUACCAUGGUAUUGCAUCUAAUUAUGGAAGCUACUCAUAACUCAUAAAGUGACAUUACAGAGGAGGGGAUUCUACAGGUAAGUAUCCAGAAGCAACACCAGUAUGUGAUACAUGUUUCCAAGAUACGUGGAAGGUGGUCAGUUAAAAGGCAAAAGCGUUGUGGGAAAUGAGAGAAAUAGCUAAUUUCAGUCAAACAAAAAAAAAGAACCAAGGAUCCAAUGAACACAUCCAUUGGAGCCAGUUUGAAAUGUAGACUUGUCUAUAAAAUUGUGUUUUCAGUUGGACAUUGUGUUUUUAAUUAGCUUGUUCACAGACAGAGCAAUAUGUCAUCUGAUCACAACCGUAAACAUCAGCUCAUUUCUCUAUGGCUUUAACAUUGGUAGGUGACUGACAGGCACCUUUUUCAUGUAAUUAUUUAUCUGAAAAGAAGAAAAAAGGUUUAAAUCAAAGUAUUUUUAAUUAACUGAUGGAAACAGUUGCAGUCCCAAACAGCCAACCCAUUCAUGCCAAUGAGGCCAUCAAGAGUCAGAUAAGUGUUAGUCGAAAUUUAAAAACAUAAUGAAAGACCAAAACUCAAUUUAACAUCGAUGGCAAAUGUGAAGAAUAAUACAAAAUUAGACUAAACUAAAUAAAAUUAUGAAAUACCAAAGGUACUAAACUAAAACCUAGAUGCAAUUUGGUGUUAGCUUGAUAACCAGGUGAUCUUCAUGAUGUGAUCAGUCUGUGAUUGGCAGGCAAUUUGCAUCGACCAGUCACAAUUGUAUGCUCUGGUUUUUUAGUUCUUUGACAAGACGGCAAAGCUGGUUUUCAACACUCAUGCAGGAUGAGGAGCUUCACUGGAUUAAACUCUGGGAGGAAGAGGUACAGAUACCCCAUACCUAAUGAAAAUAAGCAACUACAAGCUGGACCUAGUCGACGGGGCAGCGUAUAUUCGCUUUCUGCUGGUAAUUCUCAGACCACAUACAGUGGAUCGCACCAACCGCUUCAGGGCAGACCAUCCCCCGUGACUAGGCCCCAGACUGGGCAGAGAGCUCAUGCUGGAAAGGAACCCAUGAAGAGCAGCUACCAGUCAGACUACAAUAGAUACUCGGGUUCUGUAAAAGGAGGAAGUGGUUCCAGCAGUGGCUAUUUUAGCCCAACCCAACAAUCAGAAGCAACACCUGCCCAAAGAGGAAGUGCACUCCCUAGUACAGCUAUCGGAGGUUCAGUCCAAAUACACAACAGCCUUCAGUGGGCAAGUAUAAACCAGUCUCCCCUUCAAAGCCUGCCCAGACUUGACUGUUUAGUCAAAGUGGCUAUACAGUAGACUAUACCAUGUUAGAUAUAACCAAGUGACUGAAACCAAGCCCAGCGGUCCUAGUUACAAGCCUGUGUCUCUCUCUAAACCGGCCCAGACUAGCUACCAGCCUUUAGCCUCCCAGAGCACUGUCAAAUCUCCAUCUGAGCCAGGGCAGAGUUCCUCACAGUCUUUAAGUCAGUAUAGUUCUGGAAGAGUUGAUCAGCUUAGAAAUGGCUACAAGCCAGGUAGCUAUGGACAAAAUGCUAACAGCCUUAUUCAAGGUAGCAGAUUGUCCAGCCAAAGUAGCUUUAGGCCAGCACAGACCCAUUACAGCAAACCUGUGCAGACCUACCAGCAAACUCCGAGCAGCUCAAAACCAGUAAAUGUAAGAAAGCCAAUUGCCUAUAGCCAACUGCCUGCUCAGCCAGUUCAAGAAGUUGGCAAACCUUUGCCUCAGAGCCACUCUGUGCCAUCCACAAGCUCAUUUCAGAGCUCUAGCCAGGCUUCCAGGUCUCCUAAAACUACCUACAAUCCCAAACAGGGCAACUACCAGACAUCCCAAAAGCAAUGGAAGCCACACGCUGCAUCUAGACCUGCCAGCACCCAGAAACCAGCAUCUCCAGCUAAGCCAGUGCAGACACGUAGGCCAGCACUGAACAAGCCAUCCCAGACAAUGUUCAGCCAAGUUCAGAACUGGCAUCAACCAUCCACUUCAGUUUCUAGUGGUGAUUCAUUUGCCAAGCCUGAACAGAAGCAUCAGCCUUCCAAAUCAGCACAGGGUAACUACCAGUCCUUCUUAAGUAGAUUCUCAGGAGACUCUGUAGCCCCCAAUGCAGAGGGUGUCAAAAUUAAGCAAAGUCAGUCCAGCGUCGGCAUGAACCAUCUUCUACAGUUUCUAGUGGUAAUGUGUAUUCUAAACCUGUGCAGAACCUCCAGAGACCCAAACCAGCACAAGGCAAUUACCAGUCCUUCCACAGCCACUUCCCUGGAAGUGGUGCAGCCCAACCUACUGCCAGUGCCUGGAAACCAGAAAAAAAGCUGGCAUCAGCCGUCUCCUCAAGCCUCCUCCAAUCCUAACUACUCUAACCUGGGCAGAGCCAGGAGACCUCCAAACCAGCUCAGGGUAACUACCAGUUCCAGACUGGUUGAGUGUCCCAACACACUCUGAAAACCCAGGAGUUGCAAUCUCCAGCCAAGCCAGUCCAGCGCUGGCAUCAACAAUCUCCAAUUUCUCACAGCGCUCAAUCCUCCAGAUACACUCAUGUGCAGAAUAACUACAACCGAUUCACAAAUGGCUUCACUGGCCAAACUGUGGCCCAGCCUGCAAGUAGCUACAAGCCAUCUGUACCAGUCAACUAUGACCAGACUAGAUUAAGUCCAAAUCAGAGCGACAGGCCUACCACCCAAAGUGCCGUUCAGCCAGCGCGCAGCAAUUUUGCCGCAGCUCCAGGUAGUUAAGCCAGUUCAGAGCCGGCCAAAGCCAGCGGUUACAGCCCAGUCUCGCAACUCUCGGGGGGCCAUCGUAUCCACGUCCAGUCCAGAGCAGUUGGAAACCAGAAAUAGGCCUAAAGGCUCAGCUUUGUUGGAUUUAAAGUAUUUUUAAUUUUCACUGAUGUCUAGUUGCUCAUGGG